UGCAGCAUAAUUGGCUUAAUUCCCCAGAGACUAAGACUCAGAACAAGUUUUCAAAGUUGAAACAAAAGUGGUGCAAGAAAUCCUUUUCUCUUUCACUUUAGCACACAGAGCACCUCACCACAGAUGGAUUUGCCUGGGAAGACUCAGCUAUGAAAAGUGUUUUAGAGCCCCUGAGUGGACCCAGCCCCACAGCUCUACUCUGAAGAAAGGUGACGGUUGUCCUUCCCUGACUACCCAAACAAACAGGCUCUAUGUGGUAUUGAAUACAUGAUAUUUGGAUUUGAGUAGGUAUGUUUAAAAUGUCCUCUGAAUGAAGCAAAACAAUGCAAGGAGGGACAAGAAAUCUCUAACAGAAUAGGUGAGUGGUUACAAUCAUGACUGAUUUCUGGAGUGUAUCUGAUACCUAAACAGUUUUUACUCAUUUUUAUUCUGCUCCUUUUCAUCCGCACCCUGUGGCAAGGCAUCUUACAAACGUCUCAUGGGCUGUUUGAAAGUUGUGUUCGUGACAAACUGAG
rnacentral:lncRNA from 1 species